CUGAUGAUUUAGUAUUUUCCUUUUAUCUUCAUUCAGUUUAGGAGGAGGAAAACUAGUAGCUGCCUUCCACAAUUUUACUGUCACUUCCUUUAUGUCCAUUCUUGAAGUGACCAUUGGAAAUGUUGUGUCGAAAAGGAUUAUGAGGCUAAGGCAAAUGGAAGAAAAUGUCAAGAUCGAGUAGCUAUGUCUGUUAUAACAGAGAAAAAAAAAAGUGUUACAGCAAAUAGUCUACAAACUUACCAACUCUGGACAAACCCAAAUAAAUACUACAUCACUUGGUCAACUAUAAUCCAGAAGAGCACCACGAUUACUGAAUUACCACUCUAGUACUGACUGAAGUUUGUUGAAAACAGGAAGCAAGAUAUCUGUGAACAUGCUUUGAUCUACUAACGUUAUGAUGAUUAUUAUGCCUGCUAGAGUAAUUCUAGCCCCAGUCAGGCUACUGAGAAGUAAGUCAGCAAACAAUAAAGAUCUACUGGAUCUGAUAGAGAAUCAGCAAUCAUCAAGAGACUUUGCACAUUGAGCUAGAUGCAUAACUGGACAAGCUUCCUUGAAACUAUCUGUGGCCGUGUGAUUAAGUUCCAGGCAGGGACUUCCCUAAUCCUACUGAAGCAGUGAUACUACAAGAAAUCGAAGCUGUUUGUGGAGCCUAUCCUUCUAGCCCCUCAAAAAAUUCCAGUCAAUUCCCAGAGACCUAGAUGCUAUAAGCAAGACAGAGCAUGCCAUGGAGGCAGGAAUCUCAGAGUUCCAACUGGUGACGCUGCCAGGUCCAAGAGAGAAGUUCGACAGGUAGUAGAGGGCUGUGGGAAGAGCACUGAACUUGGAGUCAAGACACUUCAGUCCAGUCUCAUCUUCAAUCUGCUGGUUAAACAGGAGCAAAUCUCCCAGCACCCUGAGGAUCACCAUCCCUCUACCGAAACACGACUAUUAAACUACAUGAACUCUAAUGUACGUUUCCUUUAUUUUCAGAGGGAAAAAAAUGUUUUAUUAAACAUAUU